rnacentral:tRNA from 1 species
UUAAUUGAAGCCAAAAAGAGGCAUAUUACUGUUAAUAAUAUAAUUGAAAUUUUUUUUCCAAUUAAA